rnacentral:rRNA from 1 species
GCAAGUCGAGCGCACCCUUCGGGGCGAGCGGCGGACGGGUUAGUAACGCGUGGGAACAUACCCUUUUCUACGGAAUAGCCUCGGGAAACUGAGAGUAAUACCGUAUACGCCCUUCGGGGGAAAGAUUUAUCGGAGAAGGAUUGGCCCGCGUUAGAUUAGGUAGUUGGUGAGGUAAUGGCUCACCAAGCCUACGAUCUAUAGCUGGUUUUAGAGGAUGAUC